CAGAUAUAUAUGGUGUUGAUUGGUGAGGAUGUUGAGGUCAACCGUACUCUGUUACGGAGGUGCAACUAUAGUCAACCGACAAAGCUGGUCUGUGAUCUUCUAGCAGCUAUUUUUAGCCGCGAUGAGUUGGCCACUCACUCCUUAACUGGCCAAAGAAACUCCUUAACACCAAGAAAGUCAAUGCUAUUUUUGUUUAUACCCUGAGCAAAUUUCAAGCUGUGCCACUAAAGGAGCUGAAAGGAGCAGCAUGUACGAAGCUAAACAAUUGAAAGUAAGCUCUACAGGAA